rnacentral:rRNA from 1 species
CCUACGGGAGGCAGCAGUAAGGAAUAUUGGACAAUGGUCGGAAGACUGAUCCAGCCAUGCCGCGUGCAGGAAGAAGGCGCUCAGCGUUGUAAACUGCUUUUGGACGGGAAUAACAWCCUCCACGAGAUGAGKGCCSUAUACGGUACUGUCAGAAUAAGCACCGAGCUAACUCCGUGCCAGCAGCCGCG